rnacentral:snRNA from 1 species
AUACUUACCUGGCAGGGGAGAUACCAUUAUCACGAAAGUGGUUUUCCCAGGGCGAGGCUUAUCCAUUGCACUCCGGAUGUGCUGACCCCUGAGAUUUCCCCAAAUGCGGGAAACUCGACUGCAUUGUUUGUGGUAGUGGGGGACUGAUUUCGAGCUUUCCCUCC